rnacentral:tRNA from 1 species
AGAAAAGUAAGCUAAACUCAAGCUAUUGGGUUCAUACCCCAACCAUAGAUCUAUUCUCUUUUCUA